CACAGCACUUACCGGAAGACCAUUCCCUGAAGAAAAUUCCCUACCCCAGACCUCCUUAAUGAUCAUCACGGUUAUUUAUUAGCUAUCUGUUAUGGGCUAAUGCUCCGUGUCAGGUGACACGCGACCUGUUGAGCGAUGGGAAGGCAAGGUGACCCUGGGGAAGCCUGAAUGAGUUAGUAGACCUAACCACCACCUAGCUCAUGACAUCUCAAGGAUGCUAAGUGCUAGCCCGCUAGCCUGCCGGUGGCUUAUAAAUCUGAGAGCAGCUGUGGCUUUGGUAAUUCCUACAGCGAGUUUCAGGGGACCCCGCCCACGUGCGCUUUUCAGUUGACUUAACUUAUAGUAAGGCACUGUAGGGGAUAAAACUCUAUCUAAGUCGUGAUAACACAACUGCCACAAAUGCCCGGGGUUACCCUCUGUGAAAACGCUGCAUUAUUGAAGUCUCAUGUACGGUGCUAUAUCACAGAGACAAUUUAAUCACAGGGUUAGUUAAAUCUUAAAAAUAUGCUGGGCUGGUGUCCUUUUAUGGUCAUAAACUAUACUCUGUGUGUUGCAUACUAGGUAUUUUUUAAUAUAUGGGGGCUCCCCUCGUGGGUGGGAGCGACGGUAAAAGUUGUGGACGGGGGGGCGGAGCUGUGGUGACGGUAAAUUUUUCUCUUAUGGGGGUCGCCCCAGAUCCGCCUCAGUUCAGACAAUGGUUUUAUUAAAUAAUUGAAUGAUUGAAUGAAAUAUAAAUGAACAUGUGUGAUUUUCUGAAUUCUUCACGGAAUAAUUUUAAGAGGAAAUAAGACACAAUGCAUUUCUCCCAUCUGUCUUCUGACGGCUUAGUCUGGACAGUGCUGCUGUUAGGGGGGGUCGGGUUGCAGCCCCUCCCAGCCAGCACAGGGUGUUGAGGUGAAGCCAUGGAUGGGACAUCAGUCCAUCACUGGACACACACCUUCUGGAUAUGAGGAGCCUCAGUAAGGAAUAGCUAGCAUGCCGCUUCACUUUUCAUUUUAGAUCGUAUGUAAAGUUAUUGAUGCAUUGCUUUUUAUUUUUUUAUUGUCUUAUUUUACAUUUUCAUUACAUUUGCAUUUUACAUGUUUAGCAGGUCCUUUUAAGUGAAGCAUGUAGCACGUUACAAGCAUACAGCUGUUGAGGAGUCUGCUAGGAGUAAGUACAGCUAGGCUGAGCUUACAGUGAAUGCUUAGGUAUAAGCUGCAGAAGCUUUGGGGCGGUGUGUGGCUUAGGGGGGUAAACCCCCGUUUGGCCAGAUAACCACAUGUCUGUGGGCCCUUGAGAAAGACCCUUAACCCCCACAGCUCCAUGGGCACCGCUGCAGGUGGCUGCCCUUCACUGCCAAGCUUGCUCUCACCUACAUAUGUGUCUGUGUAUCAUGGAGAGCAAGAUGGGGUAGGCGAAAAGAGAAUUUCCCCACGGGGAUUAACAAAAGUAUCAUUAUUGGAGCAGGACUACACAACAGUUUCCAACACAGCAAGAGCUGAAUAGGACAACUAUUCAAAUCAGCAGAAAGUGCAACAAGCUUGGCGCAGUUGUUCCUGGAUCAGAUGGGUCUUGAGGUGUUUCUUGAAGGUAGACACCUUGAUGACUGGACAUGGUUUGGCAGCUCGUUUUACCACCAGGGAACCAUCUGCAGUGGAAGGAGCUCCUAGCAGCAUUUAUUUGCUUUUUGAUGGAUUUCAUUGUUAGCCACAUAAAGGUUAAAAUGCGCAGUAAAUUCUUGUCAUCACAGCGCGAAUGUACACACAAAAAAUACGCGUUUGCGUUGCUGUAAGAAAUUGCUGCAUAUAUUGCUUUGCAUGGCGAAUGCGUACUUACAUGUGUACCAGUUAUGUACUAACAACCAUUGGUAAUGCUCGUUACCAUUACAGUACUUUAAGUACAAAUUGUAUUGUAUUAUAUAGUCGCCUAUAUAAUAUUUAUGUAGUAAUGGCAUGCGAAUGGAUGGACGUUAGCGAAUGACAGCAGGCAGGUGCUGGUGCGUUUUUCAGAAAUACACCGAAAUUAAACUUUUGCCGCAUUAUUUACAGACACUUUUAACACCAACACCAGUGGCCAUUAACUCUUAAACCUGAAAUAACUGCAUUAAAAUGAAGCAACAAUGUGAUUUCGAUACAUUAUUUUUUACUUAACAGUUCCUUCCCCCCCAUUCCUCUGUCUGCUCACUGAUGCCAAAUAAAAAGUAACUUACAGAUGCUAAAUUUUCAAACCUAGACAGAUACAACACAAAGUAACUGUUUGAAUAGUAAGUACAUGUUUUAUUGUAAUGCUCAUAUCUUAUCUCAUCUUAUUUUAUCCUAUCCUGUGUUAUUCUAUCUUAGCUUAACCUAUCCUAUCUCGACAUUAACGCUUAAACAGCAUCUCCACUAAUCCUCCAUCCCCAGCCACAGCCCAUCAGUCCAUGAAUCUUUGCUAGGACCUGCUGCUCCGCAGAUUGCAGAGGCUGUCCCUGGCCUCUCUCGGCUCGCAGAGGGCAGGAGCCAUUGACGUCCGUGCCUCGUCUUCCACGGGGCUCCCGCUUCCUCCCUGGGUGGUGGCUUGCCCCUCCCGCUUCUUGGGCGAUCCCUUUGGAUGUGUCGAUUAGCUUAACUUCUUUGCACUCCAUAUUUUUUAUUUUUUUUUAGAUGUUUAGACUCUUCAAAAUACAGCCACUCGCUAAAAUGCACGAAAGAAGUAUGAAAACAGAAGUACAAGUGAUUCAAAAGUAAUCAAGCUGUUGUCACGGAAGCCCAUUCAUAUCAUAACAAACAAUAACAUCCUACACAGGUCGUUGUUGACUUAUGACCUCGAUCGGUUCCGUGACGUGUCACCAUCAACGUUGUGAUGUAAGAUGUGUGUUUGUUAGGUAUGGUUCAGGGGUGCAACGGAUCACAAAACUCACAGUUCGUAUCACGGUAUAUGAGUCACGGAUAGGAUCAUGUUUCAUAUCAGCAAAAAAUGUGACAAACUUAACUUUGCUUUCCAUUUAUUAUUUAAAGAAUGGAAAGAAAACUCAAAACAAUCUAUUUUUUCAAUGUAAUAAAAACAGUACAUUGAUAGUCAGAAUGUCUGAGGUCUUGGAUGGACCAAUGUGGACUGACUUUGUCCCUCUAUCAGCCCCUAAGCCUCCACUGUGUUGGACUCAGAUAACUUGUCUGCCUGGCUGUGUCGUCCUGUCCGUCCAUCGCCCCUGGCCGCUGACCCCACUGUGGGUGUAAUUGGCUUUGUGUAGCUUCUGUGUUCGUCGGCAAGAGCCAGAAAAUUAAUGUUUCUGCAAAUGACCCGUUUGUCAAGGACGCUAAGUGGCAUUCAGUAAUCCGUGCAGGACUCAAGGACAUCGAGCAGAGAAACAGGACAGAUUUAUGAUAAUUAUGCAGAGAGCGGCCCGAAAUCCUGUCUGAGCUGCUGUGUCUUUCAGUUAUAGGGAAGCAAGUAAAGACGAUGCCAGCAAGAUCUGCCUUACUGAAGGUAUUCUGUAGCAUUUUGAUGCUGCUUAAUAUAUCAUACCAAGAUUUCCUCCAGAAGGAGAUGCGUAAUCAUCUUCCCACAGCCCUCAUCGUCAUCAUAUAAAAUGCAGGAUUAAUGAAAUUUAAAAAGAUAUCUUUUUAUGAGAAGUCAAUCUCUCAAAGUAAGCAAACAAAAUCAUUCCAAUACACACAUUUUGACAGCACGCUUCUGCUAAAACGGGGCCAUGUUUUCUUGACACUAAUAUAUCGGGAGCUCAGUAAAUGGACAAGCCAUGUAAACUGAAGAUGAUGAAGGUCCGGAAUGAGACUCCCAGGCCGUCUCAUUGAGCUCUGGGCUUUGCUGGUAAUGCAUGCAGUGUUGACUCAUCAUUCUGUCACCACAUUCCUGGAACUGAGACCCCAGGUGCUGGUGGCUGUCUGGAAUAUCUGCAGUACCAUCACUGCCAGGCAAAGGUCCCCGUCAGAGUGAAUCAGCAGGGUAAGGUGAUGGCAGAUAGCAGUACGCUGAAGCCCGAUCAUCGCAAGGGCAGUAAGGCGGCACAAGCGUGACAGAGACAUGAGUCCAGGGUAUGUUCAGUGGUAGAGAAUGCCAGCACCAACCCCAACAUACUGGGCUCUGAAAUGUGACGGAGAUGGAUGGAUGGAUGGAACACACCUAAAUAUCAGUCCAGUCAAUGCACAAAAAUAUGUAUGCCGCAAAAAGUAAAUUAAUAGUAGAGUAAAUGAAUUCUGCUGAUGAACCUGGUUUAACUGAAGUCUGCAGAGUGACAGUACUUUUUGGGGUGUGAGAAACAAAGUCUACUAUAUAUUAUUCUAAAAUAAUAAAUACUCUUAAAUAAAAUGCCAUUUGAGACAUUUAAGGAAAUGGAAGGUAUAAAUGCAUAAAUAGCAAUAACAAGUUUGUUCAUUUCUAAAAAAAGAAUCGGUCCCCGCAGUGGCAUGGCACGUGUGUGCCUGUAGGGGACUCCCUGGCCUGUGUCCUGCCCUUCCCGGGAUGAGCUCCAGGCUGGCUGUGUCCCUGCCUCAGAUGGGGUCUGCGGAUGAUGGAUGGACAGAUGAUUUGUUGAUGAGGUGAUUAAAGGUAAAGGUGACACUAAAUAAAAGGUUGUGGUUUUAUAUAAUUCAAGGUUGUUACUCAUGUUACAAACAACAAAUGUUUUUGACAGCAGAUGAAUCAUCCAUCGAUCCAUCUUCCGAAUGUUUAUCCUGAGCAGGGUUACGGGGGUGGGUCUGGACCCUAUCCCAGACUGCACAGGGCACACGGCUAGGGGCACCCAGGACAGCAUGCCAGUCCAUAACAGGGAAAACACACACUACAUGAAAUCAGGGAAUCCAAUUAGCCUAAUCAAUGUCCUUGUGGGAGGAAACUUGCGUGACACAUGAGAAAAUGAGAGAGCAUUCAAAAUCUACACGCACUGAGCAGAAACGAGAUUUAACGGCCAACUCUGGAGGUGCGAAGCAACAAUGUUACCUACUGAGUCAUCAUGCCACCCAGAACAAUGAAUCAGAGCAAAACUUAGAGAAGAUCCAAUGGAACCAGGGUAAAAAUUCAGUUAUGAUGUAUUUUUUGCUGCUGUGCAGUCAUGUCAGAAUGUACAUUUUAUUUUUCCGUCCAUAAAUGUUUAUUCAGUGUAGCGUGAGCAAUUAAAGAUGGAAACCUGCAUCAACACUGGGAGAACUUAGGAGAAAACUCCGCACAGAAGCCAAGAAGUGGGAUUCGAGUCUAUGAUCUUUGGAAGUAGGAGGCAAUUCCUGUUCUUUCCGAUUUCCCAACAAAAGCACAAGACAACAUUGAAACUUCCUGCUUUCGAAGCUCUCAGAGGGCAAUAUACUGGAAACACACAUGGGCCGGGGGUGGAUGGGUCAGCAGGCGAGUUGGGCUUGUGACCCCUCGUUGCUCGGCAACACAAGACCCUGACGCUGUUGGUGCAUUUCAGUGACGCCAGCCGAAGUUUUUACAGACUCCUCAUGGUGGCAGAUGGAGGAAAGCAGGGAACAAGGAACUUCUGGGUGUUUUACAGCCAUCUAGGGAAGGUGUCUGGGCAGUUUCUGAAAGAAAGACCAGAAGCAGUUAGGACAUCCUGCACUGAUGUUUUUCUGGAUGAGGCCUGACUUCAAAAGAUAAGACUCACCGCCAAACACAACAAAUAUUCCCUCAGCAAAACAUGGAAGAGGAAAAAAAAAGCUUACCUAAAAGAGCCUCCGGUUUCAUGUAGGACUGUUUAAAAACAAAUGGCCCAUUUAUGACUUCCCUUCCAUGGGAACAGAGAAGUCCCGGCAUCUGUGAUUGCUCUCUGAGAUCAAAAAUAAGCCCUUAUUAUUAAAUUGGUGCACUUGGCAGUCUUUUGCGCAAUAUGGCAGCCGUGCUGUGACAUCUCAGUCAGGUCCAGUCCUUCUUCACUGGACGGGAAUGCCUGGCACGCUCCGAGGAAAGCCCUCAUUGGCGGCUGGAGUGCGCAUCGUCGUGGAUACGCAGGGAAGCCCCGCCAUGUCAGGCCAUGUGACUCCCACCGGGUGGCCUGAUUGCAGGGCACUGAAGGACAGAUGAAAGAAUGGGCGGUAGACCCGGCUCACAGACAAAACCACCGUAGCUAUAUUUACCCGGGGCAGUGCUGCCAGUGGAGAUGAUCACAAGAAAGGUACUGCAAACCACUGGCAGUGGUCACUGACAGCAUCUGCUACAGAGAACUGGAUUAUCGGAUCCCAUGAAAGGCACAUUCUGCACUGCGGAUGAUAGGCUGAAAUUUCCCUUUAUUUGGACAUAACAUACACAACAACCAUCUAUCCCAAGUUCAAUAUUCUAAUAAACACCAUUAAUAGCCUCACCUAUCCAGCUCAAUAUGGCGUAGACAUACUGGGCACGAUUUACUUGUCGUAAAUUACAUGUGAUGUAAUACUGCAAUAAAAUUUUUUCUUCAUAUUGUUUAUAUGAAGACUUAAUAAAAUGCAGAUUAUUGCAUAAAUAAAACAGCAAAUAAAGUGUGGCAUGUUCUGAAAACUACAACUGUAAAAUUAAGAAAAUAAAUGCCCUCAUGUAACCAAGA